rnacentral:sRNA from 1 species
AAUUGACAAAAAAUUUACAAGACUAUUAAUUACCAUGCUUAUUUUCUUUGGAUUGGCUGAUUUUUGAGGUAUAAACUAUUUCGAUUCUCAGCUUUCACUCCCAGACUUUUGGGCCCUUAAAUUUCCACCAUCAACUUUCAUAUUCCUCAAAAUUACAUCAUCUACUUUCGAAUUCAUGCUUAAACAUACAUUUUCAAUUGAACCAUUCAUUUAACCGGGAUUAACAACAAAUCUGCGUUUACUGUACCGCGAUUGCGAUUAACCCGACUAAUACCCAGACCCAUUAAGAAAACGACGUCGUUUUCAUUUCGUUUAACUCAUCAAAAAGAGAAAGAAAACGACGUCGUUUUCAUUCUUCUUUAACUCUCAAAUCGAUUUGGUCGUUCUUCUUUAAUCUCGACACUGUGAAAUUAGGGUUCUUGAGAGAGAAAGACAAAAGGGGAUUUGGAGUUUUCUUCUUCGAUUCGAAUUAUUGGGUUUCGAUUUGGGUUUCGAAUAGGGAGAAAUGAAGAAUUGGUGGGAGGAAGGAUUGAUUUACCAAAGCGAUCCAGAUGACCCCGAUUUCGAACCUCCAGAGAGUGACAUUGAAGCCGACGAUGGAAGUGAUAGUGGUGAUAGCGGAGUCGAGGAGGACGAAGCCACCGGAGUUGAGGGAGACGACGUUGGGAUAGAUGGAGACAGAGAAUCUGAUGGAGAGGAGAAUAGAGAAGACGAUGGUGACAUAGCGUCUGAUGGAGACGUCAAUCUAGAAGACGAUGGAGACAGAGAUGAAAGUCAAAAGAAGAGGACGAGAGAAGAGAAAAGAAAGGAGGAAGAGGCUGAAGAAGGUCAAAAGAAGAAGAGAAAACAGAAGAAGGAUGAGCCGGAAGAAGAUUUGGCCGAGAGGUUUGAGUUCGAGAUAGAGGAAGCAGUAGCUAUGUGGUAUGAUGAGUUAAAGAUUAGAAGGAACGAAAUACCAGAAAGUAAUAAUGAAGAAGAAGAUCAUGUGAUCACUAGAGAUAAGAAGAUUAGGUUAGCUUCGGAUGAUAGGUUAGCUAUAGGCAGAACAUUCUUCACUGGUUUUGAAUUCAAAGAGGUUGUCUUGCAUUAUGCAAUGAAGCAUAGGAUAAAUGCUAAACAAAAUAGGUGGGAAAAGGAUAAAAUUAGCUUUAGAUGUGCUCAAAGGAAGGAGUGUGAAUGGUAUGUCUAUGCCUCAUACUCUCACGAGAGGCAAUUGUGGGUUUUGAAGACCAAAUGUCUGGAUCAUUCUUGUACUUCUAAUGGAAAAUGCAAGCUGUUGAAGAGGAAAGUGAUUGGUAGAUUGUUUAUGGAUAAGCUAAGGUUGCAGCCUAAUUUCAUGCCUCUUGACAUUCAGAGGCAUAUCAAGGAGCAAUGGAAGCUAGUUAGUACUAUUGGACAAGUGCAAGAUGGAAGACUUCUAGCUCUUAAGUGGCUGAAAGAAGAAUAUGCCCAACAGUUUGCACACCUUCGAGGCUAUGUGGCAGAAAUCUUGAGUACAAACAAAGGAUCAACUGCAAUUGUUGAUACCAUUAGGGAUGCAAACGAGAAUGAUGUCUUCAACCGGAUUUAUGUUUGUCUUGGAGCAAUGAAGAAUGUGUUUUACUUCUGUAGGCCUCUCAUUGGGAUAGAUGGAACGUUUUUGAAGCAUGCGGUUAAGGGAUGUCUGUUCACUGCUAUAGCUCAUGAUGCGAACAACCAAAUCUAUCCAGUGGCGUGGGCAACUGUUCAGUCUAAGAAUGCAGACAAUUGGCUCUGGUUUUUGAAUCAGCUGAAGCAUGACUUGGAACUAAAGGAUGGCAGUGGCUAUGUGGUCAUAUCAGAUCGUUGCAAGGUUAGUAUUAUCUUAUGUCUAAUUG